CCUACGGGUGGCAGCAGUGAGGAAUAUUGGUCAAUGGUCGGGAGACUGAACCAGCCAAGCCGCGUGAGGGAUGAAGGUACAGAGUAUCGUAAACCUCUUUUGUCAGGGAACAAAGGCGGGGACGUGUCCCCGGAUGAGUGUACCUGAAGAAAAAGCAUCGGCUAACUCCGUGCCAGCAGCCGCGGUAAUACGGAGGAUGCGAGCGUUAUCCGGUUUUAUUGGGUUAAAGGGGUGGGCAGGCGGUCUGUUAAGACAGCGGUAAAAGCACGGGGCUCAACCCCGGCCCGCCGUUGAAACUGGCAGUCUCGAGUUGGAGAGAAGUAUGCGGAAUGCGCGGUGUAGCGGUGAAAUGCAUAGAUAUCGCGCAGAACUCCGAUUGCGAAGGCAGCAUGCCGGCUCCACACUGACGCUGAGGCACGAAAGCGUGGGUAUCGAACAGGAUUAGAUACCCCAGUAGUC
rnacentral:rRNA from 1 species